AGAUUCUGAAGAUACAAAAAUAAAUAAAACAUUCCUGCCCUCAAGACACUUACACUCUUAUGUGUAACACUGUGUGACCAUUCAUCUGGGCCUUCCUGAGACAGUCUUGGUUUACACCUGUUUUCCCAAUUUGUGACAACUGAGAUUCAGAGAUGUCCAAUCUACUCACAUAAAUAGCCUGGUUGAAGAUGGCUGAGCGUAAAACAGAAUGCAAGUCAGCUGGAGCACGUACUACUGGAGGCAGAGCCCCAUGAGAAGGGGCCAAGAACCCGCACCCAUCAAAAUCAAGAAGAAAGGCUGAACCCGGAGAGAAAAGGGAGCAACUGAUGUUGCCAUGCAGAUCCCUUGGUUGCUAUGAGAUGGUAACAUCACUCUGCCCCACCAUUGGCCAGUGCCUCCUCAGCUGCGGUGCCUCCCAGGCUGUGUGGUUCUCACGCGGGCCACUGACACAGAGCUGUUACUAUGGUGAACUUUACAAUUUCCUUUGAUUGGUGGAUUUCAGAAAUAGGCCAUCAGCGGAAUUCAUUAUAUUCAGCUAAGUAAAAAUGAAAAAUAAAUACUAUAACUUUCCCCUCAUCACUAACAUGAAGGAAACGUGACCCUUCAUGACAUAAUAAAUCGCUGUUCGGUAACUUAGGAUCCUUCAGGGGACUGAAGCGGGAUGAUCCUCCUAUGCCAAAUUUGGGUGGGAAAGAUAUUCCCUGUAGCUUUGAGUCGACUCUUCAGAGUUAAGGGCAGUGGGCCAACCAGAGUUGGAACUUCAGAGUUGGGAGGAGGUGUGGGAUGGGGCAUGCAUUGAAAUGUAAACUCUAUUGUCUCUGAAGUGAUGGGUGAUGCUGGGGGCCUGAGUGUGGAGGGCAGUUUUACAUCUCAGGACAAUGUUUUCUCAGAUGCUCUUCCAGAAAGAAAAGCCAGGAGUACUCCUGGCUGGAGGCGGCAUGCCUGAGGUCAGAGUCAAAGUAGGGUUUGUGCUGUCUGAAUCCUUUCUCCCACUCUCCCCAGCCUGGCUCAGCUUCUCAGCUUCUCAGGUGGAUUGGUGAGUCCUGGCCAAUUACGCUUCAGCUCAUCUCUACUCUCAGCAAAUAGGAAAAGGGAGUGAAGGACUGAGUUUUAACUCUUCUAAUUUCGUAACCUGACUCUCUAUAAGAAAAAGUAGGAGAAAGACUGAAGAACCCGAGAGAACAGGCCUCUGAGCCCAAGCCAAGCCAUCGCAUCCCCUGUGACUUGCCCGUAUAUAUGCCCAGAUGGCCUGAAGUAACUGAAGAAUCACAAAAGAAGUGAAUAUGCCUUGCCCCACCUUGACUGAUGACAUUCCACCACAAAAGAAGUGUAAAUGGCCGGUCCUUGCCUUAACUGAUGACAUUACCUUGUGAAAGUCCUUUUCCUGGCUCAUCCUGGCUCAAAAAGCACCCCCACUGAGCAUCUUGCGACUCCCACUCCUGCCCACUGAGCACCUUGUGACCCCCACUCCUGCCUGCCAGAGAACAAACCCCCUUUGACUGUAAUUUUCCUUUACCUACCCAAAUCCUAUAAAACGGCUCCACCCUUAUCUCCUUUUGCUGACUCUCUUUUCUGACUCAGCCCGCCUGCACCCAGGAGAUUAAAAGCUUUAUUGCUCACACA
rnacentral:lncRNA from 1 species